rnacentral:tRNA from 1 species
GCCUUCGUGGUGUAACGGUAGCAUACUCGGCGCGAACUCGAGGGGUCCAGGUUCGAUUCCCGGAGAGAGCA